rnacentral:piRNA from 1 species
UGUCACCACCAAAGGUCUCUGAGAUG